rfam:Medicago truncatula strain A17 chromosome 4, whole genome shotgun sequence.
UCCCCAUGACAUUUAGUGUUGAUGUGUCUGUUUUUUUAUCAAUUAAUGUGAGUCACGUGUGUAAUUCCAUUUUUAAAAAAAUAAAAAAAUGGUAUUUUUCAGAUUUUCAGCACUAAAUUCUAUUGUUGGUCACGUGCCUCCUUCUCUCAAAAUCUGAAAAAUACCAUUUUUUUUAUUUUUUUAAAAAAUGAAAUUACACACGUGGCACACAUUAAUUGAUAAAAAACAGACACAUCAACACUAAAUGUCAUGGGGA